rnacentral:rRNA from 1 species
UACAGAGGUCCCAAGCGUUGUUCGGAUUCAUUGGGCGUAAAGGGUGUGUAGGUGGCGCCGUAAGUCGGGUGUGAAAUCUCGGGGCUUAACUCCGAAACUGCAUUCGAUACUGCGGUGCUUGAGGACUGGAGGGGAGACUGGAAUUCCCGGUGUAGCGGUGGAAUGCGCAGAUAUCGGGAGGAACACCCGUGGCGAAGGCGGGUCUCUGGGACGGUACUGACGCUGAGACGCGAAAGCGUGGGGAGCGAACAGG